rnacentral:lncRNA from 1 species
AUUCAUGUUAUUGGAUUUGGCAAUAGAUUGUCGAUGAUAUGUAGUAGCUUGCUCCAAUUAAAAGUGUAACUACAAAACUUGCUGGAUACAUACUUUACCACCCACUGGACACACUAAAGAAAACAUGCAAAUGAGUUUUUUAUUAAAAAGUCAACAUGUGAACAUUUUCACAUUGCCAUGACACAUACAAAUGGACAAAUGGAUCAUUCCCUGUAAGAGGUGUGGGGAUUCAUUUAUCUUGAAAGAUGAGAAACUGGCCAGCCACAUUGUGCCACAUCCUGGUGGAGCAAUUAUUAAAAUGCCUGUUGAGCUUCUACUGCUGGAGCCCAGACUCCUCUGAAAAGAUGACAAAGAAUCUGACCCUCUGCUUCCUGCUGCUGCUCUUCCCACAACGGUCCUUUCAUUCACUUGUUCAACAAACAUUUACUGACUGCUGACUACAUGCCCUUUCCUUUUUGUCACC